AUUGAACGCUGGCGGCAUGCCUUACACAUGCAAGUCGAACGGCAGCACGGGUGCUUGCCCCUGGUGGCGAGUGGCGAACGGGUGAGUAAUACAUCGGAACAUGUCCUGUAGUGGGGGAUAGCCCGGCGAAAGCCGGAUUAAUACCGCAUACGAUCUACGGAUGAAAGCGGGGGACCUUCGGGCCUCGCGCUAUAGGGUUGGCCGAUGGCUGAUUAGCUAGUUGGUGGGGUAAAGGCCUACCAAGGCGACGAUCAGUAGCUGAUCUGAGAGGACGACCAGCCACACUGGGACUGAGACACGGCCCAGACUCCUACGGGAGGCAGCAGUGGGGAAUUUUGGACAAUGGGCGAAAGCCUGAUCCAGCAAUGCCGCGUGUGUGAAGAAGGCCUUCGGGUUGUAAAGCACUUUUGUCCGGAAAGAAAUCCUUGGCUCUAAUACAGUCGGGGGAUGACGGUACCGGAAGAAUAAGCACCGGCUAACUACGUG
rnacentral:rRNA from 1 species